rnacentral:rRNA from 1 species
UACGGAGGAUGCAAGCGUUGUCCGGAAUUAUUGGGCGUAAAGCGUCCGUAGGUGGUUAAGUAAGUCUGCUGUUAAAGCGUGGAGCUUAACUCCAUAUCGGCAGUGGAAACUACUUGACUUGAGUGCGGUAGGGGUCAGGGGAAUUCCCAGUGUAGCGGUGAAAUGCGUAGAUAUUGGGAAGAACACCGGUGGCGAAAGCGCCUGACUGGGUCUGCACUGACACUGAGGGACGAAAGCUAGGGGAGCGAAAGGG